GUUCAAGUGAACAAGGGCGUACGGGGGAUGCCUAGGCUCUAGGAGGCGAAGAAGGACGUGCCAAGCUGCGAAAAGCUGUGGGGAUCGGCACAGUCGAAUUGAUCCACAGAUGUCCGAAUGGGGCAACCCACCCUGACUUGUCAGGGUAUUCCGAAAGGAAGGCAAACGCGGGGAACUGAAACAUCUAAGUACCCGCAGGAAGAGAAAAUAAUAAUGAUUCCGUCAGUAGCGGCGAGCGGACGCGGAAGAGCCCAAACCAUUUAUGUUACGGCAUAUAUGGGGUUGUAGGACCUGCAUAAUUUUAAAUUAGGAGACUCGAAUUGGCUGGGAAGUCAAACCGUAGAGGGUGAGAGUCCUGUAGAGGAAUUUUAAUUUAGAAGGCGGGUAUCCUGAGUAGGCCGGGACAGGAGAAAUCCCGGUUGAAUCUGCCGGCACCAUCCGGUAAGGCUAAAUACUCCCUAGAGACCGAUAGUGAACGAGUACCGUGAGGGAAAGGUGAAAAGUACCGUGAAUAACGGGGUGAAAAGAACCUGAAACCGUGCGCCUACAAGCGGUCGGAGUCCUGAUUUAUUGGGAUGACGGCGUGCCUUUUGCAUAAUGAGCCUACGAGUUACUCCUCACCGGCAAGGUUAAUCCUGUUUACAGGAGGAGCCGCAGCGAAAGCGAGUCCGAACAGGGCGCCAUAGUCGGUGGGGGUAGACGCGAAACUUAGUGAUCUACCCAUGGCCAGGUUGAAGCUCUGGUAAAACAGAGUGGAGGACCGAACCGAUAAGCGUUGAAAAGCUUCCGGAUGAGCUGUGGGUAGGGGUGAAAGGCCAAUCAAACUGAGAAAUAGCUCGUACUCCCCGAAAUGUUUUUAGGAACAGCGUCGGGAAUUGUAUGAUGGAGGUAGAGCUACCGAUAGGACUAGGGGGAGUCACAUCCUACCAAAUCCUGACGAACUCCGAAUGCCAUCAUAUAGAACCGGCAGUGAGGGCUUGGGUGCUAAGGUCCAAGUCCGAGAGGGAAAGAACCCAGACCUACCGCUAAGGUCCCAAAAUCCGCGCUAAGUUGAACAAAGGCGGUCCAGUUGCAGAGACAGCCAGGAGGUUAGCUUGGAAGCAGCUAUUCCUUUAAAGAGUGCGUAACAGCUCACUGGUCGAGCGACAGGGCGUCGAUAAUAAUCGGGCAUCAAGUGCGGUACCGAAGCGAAGGAAGAUAUUUAUAUUUUGGUAGGGGAGCAUUCCAGCGACAGUGAAUCCGGAUGGUAAUGUCCGGUGGAGUUUCUGGAAAAGCAAAUGUAGGCAUAAGUAACGAUAAUGGAUGGGAACAACAUCCACACCGAAAGACCAAGGAUUCCUGAUCAACGCUAAUCGGAUCAGGGUCAGUCGGGACCUAAGGAUAACCCGAAGGGGGAUUCCGAUGGCAAAUGGGUUAAUAUUCCCAUACCGAACAUACAGGUGACGGGGUGACGGAGUGUUGAAAGACCCGCCCGGUGACGGAAUACCGGGUUAAAGGGUGUAGGUAUUUGGACUGUAGUAAAAUGCGCAGUCUUAGCCGAACCUGAUAGUACCAAGCGUCUUCGGACAAUUGGAUAGUGGUCCUAAGAGCUUCCAAGAAAAACCUCUAGCGCUAAGCGUAUGUUCGCCCGUACCGCAAACCGACACAGGUGGUUGGGGAGAGUAUCCCAAGGUGCUCGAGUGAAUCAUGGCUAAGGAACUCGGCAAAAUGGCCCUGUAACUUCGGGAGAAGGGGCGCCUCCUUUUACUUCGGUAAGAGAGGCCGCAGUGAAAAGGCCCAGGCGACUGUUUAUCAAAAACACAUGGCUUUGCGAAAUCGUAAGAUGAAGUAUAAGGCCUGACACCUGCCCGGUGCCGGAAGGUUAAGGGGGGACGUUAUCGUAAGAGAAGCGUUGAACUGAAGCCCCGGUAAACGGCGGCCGUAACUAUAACGGUCCUAAGGUAGCGAAAUUCCUUGUCGGGUAAGUUCCGACCUGCACGAAUGGUGUAACGAUCUGGGCACUGUCUCAGCCAUGAGCUCGGUGAAAUUGUAGUCGCGGUGAAGAUGCCGCGUACCCGCAACGGGACGGAAAGACCCCAUGAACCUUUACUGCAACUUAACAUUGGCAUCGGGUACACGGUGUGUAGGAUAGGCCGGAGGCUGUGAAUUGGCGUCGCUAGGCGUUGAGGAGCCACCGUUGAAAUACGGCCCUCUGUGUGCCUGGUGUCUAAUCCCUGAAAAGGGAGACAUUGUUUGGUGGGUAGUUUGACUGGGGUGGUCGCCUCCAAAAGAGUAACGGAGGCUUCCAAAGGUUCCCUCAGCACGCUUGGUAACCGUGCGUGGAGUGCAAUAGCAUAAGGGAGCUUGACUGCAAGGCGUACAUGCCGAGCAGGGUGGAAACACGGGUAUAGUGAUCCGGCGGUACCGAAUGGAAGGGCCGUCGCUCAAAGGAUAAAAGGUACUCUGGGGAUAACAGGCUGAUCUCCCCCAAGAGCUCAUAUCGACGGGGAGGUUUGGCACCUCGAUGUCGGCUCGUCACAUCCUGGGGCUGGAGAAGGUCCCAAGGGUUGGGCUGUUCGCCCAUUAAAGUGGCACGCGAGCUGGGUUCAGAACGUCGUGAGACAGUUCGGUCCCUAUCUGUUGCGGGCGUGAGAAGUCUGCGGGGGGCUGUCCUUAGUACGAGAGGACCGGGAUGGACCGACCGCUGGUGUACCGGUUGUAGUGCCAACUGCACCGCCGGGUAGCUAAGUCGGGAAGAGAUAAGCGCUGAAAGCAUCUAAGUGCGAAACUCGCCCCAAGAUGAGACUUCUAAACAGGGCCGUCAGAGACGAUGACGUUGAUAGGCUGUAGGUGUAAAGUCAGAAAUGACAUAGCCGAGCAGUACUAAUCGCCCGAAAACUUGAACGU
rnacentral:rRNA from 1 species